rnacentral:rRNA from 1 species
GACGAACGCUGGCGGCGUGCUUAACACAUGCAAGUCGAACGGGCCCGCUCUCUUUUUUGGGGGUGGGUUGAGUGGCGAACGGGUGAGUAUCACGUGAGUAACCUGCCCCCUGCUCCUGGAUAACUGCUUGAAAGGGCGGCUAAUACGGGGUGUGCCGGCUGGUCCGCAUGGGCCUGGUCUGGAUAGUUUCAUCUUCGGGUGUUUCGGUGGGGGAUGGGCUCGCGGCCUAUCAGCUUGUUGGUGGGGUGAUGGCCCACCAAGGCGGUGACGGGUAGCCGGCCUGAGAGGGUGGGCGGCCACACUGGGACUGAGACACGGCCCAGACUCCUGCGGGAGGCAGCAGUGGGGGGUAUUGCACAAUGGGCGGAAGCCUGAUGCAGCGACGUCGCGUGAGGGAUGGAGGCCUUCGGGUUGUGAACCUCUUUCUCCGGUGGUGAAGGCCCUGUCCGUUGCGGCGGGGUUGACGGUAGCCGGGUAUGAAGCGCCGGCUAACUACGUG